GUGCCAGCCGCCGCGGUAAUACGGAGGGUGCAAGCGUUAAUCGGAAUUACUGGGCGUAAAGCGUGCGUAGGCGGUUCGUUAAGUCUGCUGUGAAAGCCCCGGGCUCAACCUGGGAAUGGCAGUGGAUACUGGCGAGCUAGAGUGUGAUAGAGGAUGGUGGAAUUCCCGGUGUAGCGGUGAAAUGCGUAGAGAUCGGGAGGAACAUCAGUGGCGAAGGCGGCCAUCUGGAUCAACACUGACGCUGAGGCACGAAAGCGUGGGGAGCAAACAGGAUUAGAUACCCCUGUAGUCC
rnacentral:rRNA from 1 species